rnacentral:rRNA from 1 species
UAACACAUGCAAGUCGAACGGCAGCAUGGUCUAGCUUGCUAGGCUGAUGGCGAGUGGCGAACGGGUGAGUAACGCGUAGGAAUAUGCCUUAAAGUGGGGGACAACUUGGGGAAACUCAAGCUAAUACCGCAUAAUCUCCUUGGAGAAAAGCUAGGGACCUUCGGGCCUGGCGCUUUAAGAUUAGCCUGCGUCCGAUUAGCUAGUUGGUAGGGUAAAGGCCUACCAAGGCGACGAUUGGUAGCUGGUCUGAGAGGAUGGCCAGCCACACUGGAACUGAGACACGGUCCAGACUCCUACGGGAGGCAGCAGUGGGGAAUAUUGGACAAUGGGGGCAACCCUGAUCCAGCAAUGCCGCGUGUGUGAAGAAGGCCUGAGGGUUGUAAAGCACUUUCAGUGGGGAGGAGGGUUACUAGGUUAAGAGCCAGGUAAUUGGACGUUACCCACAGAAGAAGCACCGGCUAACUCCGUGCCAGCAGCCGCGGUAAUACGGAGGGUGCGAGCGUUAAUCGGAAUUACUGGGCGUAAAGGGUGCGUAGGUGGUUAAUUAAGUUAUCUGUGAAAUCCCCGGGCUCAACCUGGGCAGGUCAGAUAAUACUGGUUAACUCGAGUAUGGGAGAGGGUAGUGGAAUUUCCGGUGUAGCGGUGAAAUGCGUAGAGAUCGGAAGGAACACCAGUGGCGAAGGCGGCUACCUGGCCUAAUACUGACACUGAGGCACGAAAGCGUGGGGAGCAAACAGGAUUAGAUACCCUGGUAGUCCACGCUGUAAACGAUGUCAACUAGCUGUUGGGUUAUAUGAAUAUAAUUAGUGGCGCAGCARACGCGGAUAAGUUGACCGCCCUGGGGGAG